rnacentral:lncRNA from 1 species
AUCCAAUCUCCUGCCCACGCCCCAGCAACCAAAUGCAUCCAGAGGCAGAGAACAGGGGAGCUCACUGCUGUGGUCCAUGGGCUGGGCCAGCUUCCAGGAACACAGAGAGAGCGGGAAAGACAAGGGACAGACAGACAAAGAACCUGUUUAAUUUGCAGCUAUGAACACUGCAUAAGAGGAGGAAAGCAAUUUCCUUAAGUAUAAUCUUCUUUUGCUGAAAGAAAUCAAGGGCUUUCUGUGAGGACUGAGAAAACAUCCAGAAAGAAUAGGCUCGCUGAGAAACAGAAAAGCAAAGCCCGCCUCUGACAUCACAAGGUGACCCCUGUGAAACGUCAUUGGAGCCCUCCAAAGGGUCCACAACCCACAGGUUGAGGACCACUGUUCUAGAGGAAGCAACUGGAAAGAAGGACUCUUGGGAACAUGAGAGCAUGGAGCCUUGCAAAGGGGGUUGUUACAUAGCAAAGAAUAACUAAGACAUGCCUGUCCUAGCCUGCUUCUUUGGUUGCUCCAAUAAAAUUUAGACCAGAAC